rnacentral:tRNA from 1 species
GGGGAUGUAGUUCAGUUGGUUAGAAUACUUGCCUGUCACGCAAGAGGUCGUGGGUUCGAGUCCCAUCAUCCUCGCCA